CCGUGCUAGACGGGGAGCUAGCGGUGCCCUGUACCCGCAAACCGCUCCAGCGGGGUCGAAUUCCAGCUCGAGGGCCGAGCGAGCCGAGCCUGUCAUGCAGCCGUGGCGUUGAAGGUUGGGUCCUGCGCGGCGAAGGGCCCCGAACCCCGUCAGGUCCGGAAGGAAGCAGCGGUAAGAGGAUUCCUUCGGGUGCCGCAGGGGUGCCUGGCCUGAGCUGCAGCUUCAUGGUAAGUCGGCCACGCUAGCACGACAGCUGGUGCACGG
rnacentral:SRP_RNA from 1 species